AAAAAUAAUCUAACUCUAGGGCUGGAGAGAUGGCUCAGCCGUUAAAGGCUGGGCUCACAACCAAAAAUA
rnacentral:miRNA from 1 species